rnacentral:rRNA from 1 species
UACGUAGGUGGCAAGCGUUGUCCGGAUUUACUGGGCGUAAAGAGCGCGCAGGCGGUCGUCUAAGUCGAAUGUGAAAGCCCCCGGCUCAACUGGGGAGGGGCAUUCGAUACUGUUCGACUCGAAGGCAGGAGAGGGAAGUGGAAUUCCGGGUGUAGUGGUGAAAUGCGUAGAUAUCCGGAGGAACACCAGUGGCGAAGGCGACUUUCUGGCCUGUUCUUGACGCUGAGGCGCGAAAGCUAGGGGAGCAAACGGG